UUAGUGUUAUUUACUUUAACAUUAAUUUAUAUGUAAAUUUAAGUGUAUAUUAUAAUUUCUUAAAGAGAUUUAAUUUUAAUUAGUGGCAGUAGAUAAUUUUAUUGAUAUUAAAUAAUUUUAGAUUUGGUAAAUGUUAGUAAGGUUUGGUUAAAGUUGUGCCAGCAUCCGCGGUUAUACAGCAAAAUCAAGUAAAUAUUAUUGGUUUUUAAGUAAUUAAUAUUUAUAGUGAAAUAUGAAUUGAGAUGCAUUUUUAAGGUGAAAUAUUUAUAAUAUCUUGAAGAAUAUUUAUUUGGUAUGAUUAUUAUGAAAAUUAAAAUAUAAACUAGGAUUAGAUACCCUAUUAUUUUUAUUGUAAAAAAUUAAACUAGAGUAUUAGUAGUUAUGAUCUUGAAACUUAAAGAAUUUGGCGGUAUUAUAGUCUGUUUAGAGGAAUCUGUUAUGUAAUCGAUAAUCCACGUAGAACCUUACUUAUAUUAUUUCUUGUAUAUCGCUGUUUAAGAAUAUACUUUUAGGUAAUUUUCUUAAGAUGUAACUAAUUAAAAUUUCAAGUCAAGGUGCAGUAAUAUAUAAGUUGAAUAAUGGAUUACAAUAAAAUUUAUUUAUUAUGAAUUGUUAUUGAAAUAUAAUUUGAAGGUGGAUUUAAUUGUAAUUUUUUAAAGAUUGUUAAAAUGAUUUAAAGCUCUAUAAUAUGUACACAUCGCCCGUCGCUCUCGUUAUUAAGAUGAGAUAAGUCGUAACAAAGUAGGUGUAUCGGAAGAUGUACCUAGAAA
rnacentral:ncRNA from 1 species